rfam:Gossypium arboreum cultivar AKA8401 contig_39596_5, whole genome shotgun sequence.
AAUCCAUGCAUCGGACAUUUCUGAAUUAAAUCUUUAAAUCGUUCUCAAGAUUCAUAUAAUGUUUCAUCCUCUAAGUGCCGAAAAGACGUGAUGUCAUUUCUGAGCUU